rnacentral:tRNA from 2 species
GCUGAGGUGGCCCAGCUCGGAAAGGCGCAGGCCUGGAGAGCCUGUGGGGCUCUGCCCCUCGAGGGUUCAAAUCCCUCCCUCAGCG